GCUUAAUUUAAAUGCUCAGUUGGUAGAGCACGAAACUCUUAAUCUCAGGGUCGUGGGUUAUAGCCCCAUGUUGGGCA